rnacentral:rRNA from 1 species
GCCAGACUCCUACGGGAGGCAGCAGUGAGGAAUAUUGGUCAAUGGGCGAGAGCCUGAACCAGCCAAGUCGCGUGAGGGAAGACGGUCCUAUGGAUUGUAAACCUCUUUUGCCGGGGAGCAAAAAGCGGUACGUGUACCGCAUCGAGAGUACCCGGAGAAAAAGCAUCGGCUAACUCCGUGCCAGCAGCCGCGGUAAUACGGAGGAUGCGAGCGUUAUCCGGAUUUAUUGGGUUUAAAGGGUGCGCAGGCGGCGAGUUAAGUCAGGGGUAAAUUUUCGGGGCUCAACCCCGACAAGCCGUUGAAACUGGCUUGCUAGAGUGGGCGAGAAGUAUGCGGAAUGCGUGGUGUAGCGGUGAAAUGCAUAGAUAUAACGCAGAACUCCGAUUGCGAAGGCAGCAUACCGGCGCCCAACUGACGCUCAGGCACGAAAGCGUGGGUAUCGAACAGGAUUAGAUACCCCGGUAGCA